GUGAACCUGCGGAAGGAUCAUUAGUGAAUCUAGGACGUCCAACUUAACUUGGAGUCCGAACUCUCACUUUCUAACCCUGUGCAUCUGUUUUAAAAUUGGCUAGUAGCUCUUCGGAGCGAACCACCAUUUUUCACUUAUACAAACACAAAGUCUAUGAAUGUAAACAAAUUUAUAACAAAACAAAACUUUCAACAACGGAUCUCUUGGCUCUCGCAUCGAUGAAGAACGCAGCGAAAUGCGAUACGUAAUGUGAAUUGCAGAAUUCAGUGAAUCAUCGAAUCUUUGAACGCACCUUGCGCUCCUUGGUAUUCCGAGGAGCAUGCCUGUUUGAGUGUCAUGAAAUCUUCAACCCACCUCUUUCUUAGUGAAUCUGGUGGUGCUUGGUUUCUGAGCGCUGCUCUGCUUCGGCUUAGCUCGUUCGUAAUGCAUUAGCAUCCGCAACCGAAACUUCGGAUUGACUUGGCGUAAUAGACUAUUCGCUGAGGAUUCCAGACUUGUUCUGGAGCCGAGUUGGGUUAAAGGAAGCUUCUAAUCCUAAAGUCUAUUUUUUGAUUAGAUCUCAAAUCAGGUAGGACUACCCGCUGAACUUAAGCAUAUCAAUAAGCGGAGGA
rnacentral:rRNA from 1 species